AAUAGAUACCCAGGUAGUCCACGCCGUAAACGAUGUCGACUUGGAGGUUGUGCCCUUGAGGCGUGGCUUCCGGAGCUAACGCGUUAAGUCGACCGCCUGGGGAGUACGGCCGCAAGGUUAAAACUCAAAUGAAUUGACGGGGGGCCCGCACAAGCGGUGGAGCAUGUGGUUUAAUUCGAUGCAACGCGAAGAACCUUACCUACUCUUGACAUCCAGAGAACUUGCCAGAGAUGGCUUGGUGCCUUCGGGAACUCUGAGACAGGUGCUGCAUGGCUGUCGUCAGCUCGUGUUGUGAAAUGUUGGGUUAAGUCCCGCAACGAGCGCAACCCUUAUCCUUUGUUGCCAGCGGUUAGGCCGGGAACUCAAAGGAGACUGCCAGUGAUAAACUGGAGGAAGGUGGGGAUGACGUCAAGUCAUCAUGGCCCUUACGAGUAGGGCUACACACGUGCUACAAUGGCGCAUACAAAGAGAAGCGACCUCGCGAGAGCAAGCGGACCUCAUAAAGUGCGUCGUAGUCCGGAUUGGAGU
rnacentral:rRNA from 1 species